UACAAAUUCCAAAACAGCUGUUUAAAAAAAGUAGCAUAAACAGAUAUGAAGCCUCAUCAAACUUCGAUAAGACUGGAUAUGCUUACGAGGAAGAUGAUAAAAACUGCUCGGAGCUUCCUGGACCCUCUUCUAACACAUUCACAGACAGGAGUCUCGUGAUCGAUAUGGAGUUGCGAAGCAAACGAAAACAUGUUUACACCCCGCAUCUUGUGAAACUGUGACUCGAGCUGCAUCUGUCCGUUAUGUCCACGAGACGUGACAUUUACACCGGGAGCCAAGAAGAUUUGUCAAUCAAAGCCAUUUUAAGCGCAAGGGCGUCUUCACUGAGCCUGGAGUCGGCAAGGCGAGCGGAGGGAGGGAGCAGGGCGGGGCGUAGCGAGCAUCCACACAACAGGCAGGAGGGCGGGGCGUAGCGAGCAUCCAGACAACAGACAGAAGGGCGACCUGCAGCGCCCAACUGCAGCUCUGCAUGGGAGCUGGUGUCAAUGUCCUCAACAAUAUACUGUAAAUGUGCUCUAUUAUAAAACUGCAUGUCCUAUACACCGUGAAUUAAACACCAGCGAUGUGAAAAGUC